rnacentral:lncRNA from 1 species
CCUCGUCUCGUCUAUCAAUAUUAUAUCAUCAGCAAAGAGCAUACACCAAGGCACAUCCCCUUGGAUAUGUCGGGUCAGAGCAUCCAACACUAAGGCGAACAACAGGGGGCUCAGCGCCGAUCCUUGAUGGAGCCCCAUUACCACAGGAAAAUGGUCUGAUACGCCCCCCACCGUCCUAACCUAGACUUAGCUCCAUUGUACAUGUCCUUGAUU